rnacentral:rRNA from 1 species
UUUGGUGGUCUUAUUGGCGCAUACCACGGUGGGGUCUUCGACUGGGGUCAAGUCGUAACAAGCUAGCCGUAGGGGAACCUGUGGCUGCAUUGAAUCC